UUCAUCUUUUUGGACACAUCUCGACAAGAAAAUUGAGGAAGCCUAUCUUCUGUUCGCUCGGCUACAACCAUGAAAUACUGCCGCCCGCUGACCCUCAGGAAGAGACGGACCUGCCAGGCAUCGUCUUUAGAUUGUCCUCUUUAACUAUUACAAAGGCCCUGAUUCGCCCGGACAGACCGUCCUCCGAGGGUUCAGACGGUCGACUGGUUCGGCUGUUGUGUCUUCCACUCGGCAUGAUAGGAACUGGUCUGGAUCAGGUUCCUGCAGAUCAAUGGAGAUCUGGGUCCGCACCGUUUACGUUAUCGUUGCCAGUAUUAAUGCUCUUUUAAUCUGCUCGGGAUUACAGCCAUCGAUCCACAUCAUCCAUCCGCACGCACGGCCGAGCCCAAAACUGCUGCUUCACACACACAAACACACACACACACACACACACAUAAACACACACACACACACAUAAACACACACACCUUUCAGACAAACACACAGACUG